UACGUAGGGGGCAAGCGUUGUCCGGAUUUAUUGGGCGUAAAGGGCUCGUAGGCGGCCAACUAAGUCAGACGUGAAAUCCCUCGGCUUAACCGGGGAACUGCGUCUGAUACUGGAUGGCUUGAGAUUGGGAGAGGGAUGCGGAAUUCCAGGUGUAGCGGUGAAAUGCGCAGAUAUCAGGAGGAACACCGGUGGCGAAGGCGGGUCUCUGGGCCGAAACUGACGCUGAGGAGCGAAAGCGUGGGGAGCAAACAGG
rnacentral:rRNA from 1 species